rnacentral:lncRNA from 1 species
UGCAAGCCCUCGACCCCAACCACGCCACACCAUUUGCUUUUGAAAUUAUCCUUAACAAGAUUUUGAUUACACUAUGUUAGACUUGGAAAGAUUGACCAAACUUAAAAUGCCAGAAGAGUAAUCUCGGUUGAUAUGUGAAAUUCCAUAUAUCAUUGGAGAUGACGAAGAGGUGGAAUCAGAGUGCAGGAAAUUGUCGAACCUUGAUGAACUAGAAGUGAGUCAACAACUAGAGAUCAAAUCGAAUUAAAAAAACGAACUGAAAAAGAAAAAAAAAUUAAAAUGACAAAUUUACCUCUGAUCUAAGUUGGU